UGUAUGUAUGUGUGUGUGCCCCACCCACCUCCGGCUCCUUCAUGUUUGUGUCGUCGCUGCCCUUGUCUGCGCAAGCACGGUGUCCUGUCGUGUCCGUCUCGCUGCUUUGUGUUCUCGCACUCCACCGCGUGUUUUACGGCGUUGCCUGCGUUUUUUGGUGUUUUUCUGCUUUUUUCCCGUCUUUUGGCUCCUCGCACUGAACCGCCUGCACACACCGCUCCGCACGCACUAGUCGCGUGUGUUCCGCCCCCCGACACUUUCUGUGGCGCUGAUCGGGGGCGACUUCCCGGCCCGGGGACACC
rnacentral:misc_RNA from 1 species